rnacentral:lncRNA from 1 species
CUAUAAUUCGAGAUCCGUGGAAACAGAGCAUAUUCCGGAAUCCAAUUAUAGUCGCACCUCUAAGAGAGGGCGCCAAGAGCGAAACCCUAAUCUUAGGUAUACUUCUGGACAUUCUGAUCCAUAUAAUCGCUCUACUUGGGAAGGUAACCGCCAAAAUAGGCCAACACGGAACCGAAGAGGUAAACGUGGAAAGAGAGAGGGAGGCAACGCCUCUGGCCAUGUUGGUGGCGCCACC